GAAGCACUCCGAAGCAAGCUCUGCAACAGCAGCCACUUUAUCUAUAUAAAUAUCUUUGUUUUUGUAGUUCUCCAUGCGUACUAGUUUUUGCUUGUAGUUGCUUCAAACUGUGUACGAUCUCUCUCACCAAACUUUUCUCAUUUCAUGCUUGCUCUUCUGGUCUUUCUUUGCAGAAGCAGCUGCAUCUGCUGCUGGUGACUGUGUGAUUUGCCCCACCAUUUUUAAUGCAAUGCAGGGUUGGUCUACUGGUACCUGUAGCCCCGCCAUUAUAAAGAAGAUGAAAAAAAACAACUAUGCGUACACUCUGAAGUUUGAAUUGGAAAUAUGAAUCACCUCUUUAAGAUAAAGUAAGAUUAUCUAUGUCUGUACUAUUCCUCUCAAGGUUUGUCAGUGUACUGUUUUUCUUUUCUUUUUUUGCACACAGUGGUUACCACCAAUCUAUCUAAUGCUGCUGACAUCAUGAUUAGUACUUUCACCACUAAUGCAUACCUGGGAUAAGAGUUUUUUUUUUUUCUUAUUUUAACAUAGAUAAAAAAAAGACACAUUUAAAAAAAUAAUUAAUAAAUUAACACACUUAAAUGAACUUAAAGGGGUCAAAAAAUGGAGUUUUUCCGUUGUGUUUUGCUAUUAUGAAAGAAGAGACGAACAAUAAUUGAAGUUGAUUUUUGGAUUUGCUUCACCGAUAUAUGAUUGAGGGACCAACUAGGUUGUGUAUUAUAUCAGAUAGACAUAUGACGAUAAAGAUUUCCAUGGAACGUAUUUUUUCGAAACCUAUUAACAAUCAUCGAUAUUGUUCAUGACACUUUGUGAAUAAUUUAAACACAAAGUAAAAAAAUAUUUUCUUGAAAAAUACGUUGCAUAAGAUGUGUGCACACCCUUCUAAACAGGAGUUUGACAUUUUAUAUGAGAAGUUGCUAGAGACAAAUGAUGCAAUUAGAGCAUGACUAGAUGCUGAACCUAAAGAAAAGUGGGCAUUAUUUUAUGAUUAUGAUGGUCGUUGUUAUGACAAGACCACAAACUUGUUGGAGGUUUUUAAUAAUGUUUUAAAAACUAUUCGUGGCUUGCCUGUUUCAGCUAUAAUAUAAAUUUUUUUAGGUGUAAUAAAUGUUUUGUGGAGUGUAGAGAAAAAAAUGAAGAAUUUUUAAGUCGUGAUGUGUUGUGGUCUUCAAAGGUCCUAGCUAAGAUACUGAUGCGAAAACUUCAAGAUCACACCUGAUAUCUCUUUUCUUUUUAUCUUAAAGGUGAUAUAUUUCAAUCUGAGACAUCUUUAAUAGCUAGUGUUACAAGAAAAGUGUGAGACCAUGCUCACAUUAACAUCAAUCAAGCAACUUAUUCUUGUGGCAAAUGAUAAUUGUAUCAUCGACCAUGCUCACAUAUAAUUUCAUGUUGCACUUCAUUAAAUAUGAACUAUGUAUAAUUUGUAGAUGAAUUCUAUUCCAACUUGUCAUAUAAAAAUGCAAAUAGUCCACAUUUUCGACUUUUGUAUGAUACGUCAUUGUAGCUUGCAUAUACUUAUUCUUGGGUCAAGGGAAAUCCACUCGUUUACAUAAUGAGAUGGAUGCUAGAGAGGGACAUUCAUUGAAUAGAUAUUAUAUAUGCAGUCAAAGGGGUUAUAAUAGAAAAACUUAUGAAACUAGAUAAUGUAUGUUAUUUUUUUAUUUUUUUAAAUUAUGUCAACUUUAAUUUAAUUGCAAAUGCUAACAAUUUUUUUAUACAGGACCUUGAGAUAGACAUGGUUUGGACUAAAGGAGGUUCAACCUCUUUUAGAAAUGUCAACAGGCAAGGCCACCCUUGUUACUGAUGAAGGUUCUGAUGAUAGGUUGCUGUUAUUUAUGCAGGAUCAACAUCAUUCCAAUGAUAUAUGGAGCGAUGAGGUCAUAUAAAUAUUCUAAAGAUUUAUUUUGAUGAUUUAACUAAGUUGUUUGAUAUUUAGGGCGGUGAUCCAGUGACACCUAGACAACAUAUCUUGAUGGAGUUGCAUGAACGUGUGCAUUCGUAUGUUAUUGAGGUUGGUGUUUAUGAGAUCAGUUAGUUGCGUCGCAUAAAUCUUGACCAUGCAUUGAUUGCAGCAUUGGUGGAGUGAUAAAGGCGCGAGAUGCACGCCUUCCAUCUACGUGUUGGUGAGGUGACACCAACACUCCAGGAUGUAGCGAUGUUGAUCGGUCUUCUGAUAGCUAAGACAUCUAUGACCAACAAUAGAGUUUUGAUUGAUAUAGAUUUGUUAUGUGAUUGUCUAUGAGGACAAGUGCCUCCAGCCAAUACUUAUAGGGGCGACUGCAUCAGGUUGACAUGGUUGGGCGCUAAUUUUAAUACCCCUUAGUAGACGUGACAACAAACCAGCUUAUUAUGUAUGCUCGGGCAUACAUAUUACACAUGUUUAGAGGAUUUAUUUUCACGAGUACUAUUGGAAAUGCAGUUUCAUUGUACUUUCUGAUGGUUCUUGAUGAUUUUUGUGCCAUUUCAAAUUAUAGUUGGGGGGAGCCAUUCUUGCAUAUCUAUAUCAGCAACUAUGCAAAACAUGUCUAAAAAAAGAAGACAAAUUGCCUGGUGUCUUCUAUUUCUUCAGGUAUAUGUAUUUUAAAUUAUUUGAUUACUAGAAUUAAUGAAAUUUUAAAUACUAACUUGUAAUUUUCAAUGUUCAUUAACAUAAUUCUAGACAUUUUAGUAUAUUCAUAUCGGGUGUUCAAAGAGCUAGGGUAUUAACAUGAUUAACACUAUCACUUAGAGGCCACUCUCAAUUGGUUUCAGGUAAUAAUAAAAUAUAGUUGAUUAUAGUCAACAUGUUAUUUAUAUAAAUUGAAUGUAAGGAAAUAUACUAACUUUGUGGGUUGUCUUGUUAAAUGGUGUAUGGCUAGAUAUUUUACUGUAAAUCCCAAUCAUAUCCAAGAGUUUUAUCAGGAUAAGUUGGACGCACAACAAUCACAUCUGGUCUAUAUUACAAAUGUAAUUAAUUUUUUUUUUGCUAUUUUAAAGUUAAUUAUUUAGUUUCAAUUUAUUAUUUGAGAUAACUGUUUUACAUCUUUUGAUAGGUUAUAUGGAUUCCAUAUAUGAAGAACUUGAUACUUUAAGCUUUGCCUAUAUGUCGUGAGAGAUUUGACAAUUGGUUAGUACAAGUCCCUUUAAACUGCUUUGACAUUGUUGAGAUGCAUUGUCCAGAUCGGGUAAUGCGACAAUUUAGACUAUCUUAGCAUAUACUGGAUUAUGUUGAUACUAGAAAGGAGUUGCACAGUGUUAGUCGUCAGGGUAAACGCAAGGGGAAUUGAUUGGUAAUUCAUGCAUCUUACCUUGAUCUUUGGGAUGCUAUGAGAGAUCGUGUUUUUGAGGAGUGACAACUUACAAUUGACAUAGAUACCUACAUGACACAAUAUAUAUCCAUUAUACGCCGUUUCAUUACACCAACCUAGUCGUAUUUCCCGAGACAUUCAAAUAAUUCAAUGUACUAUGCCUUCGAGUAUCCGAGACAGAAUCGAUUAGUAUGCAAUAAUAUUUUACAUUUAUUAAAUACUAGAAUAAUUUUAUUAUGGAUGAUGACUACUAAUUGGUUCUUAAUGUAUGUAUAUAAAUUAAUUACUUGGUACGGGAAGCUCGGAAAAUAGUAAUGACUAUUCGUGAAGGUGUUGAUGAGAUAUGACAUAUUGUGGCCAACACCAAACUCAAUUUAUAUUGUGGCGGACUUCAAAAGGUUAGAGAGAUUAAGCGUCUUGAAACAGCACUAACGGAAGAUGAGAUUGCUUAUUGUGGAAGUGUUGGGGAUGUUGACCUGUCUAAAAACAUCCCAGGCCCAUCCAUGAGCGUCCUAGGACCAUAGUUUUAAAACCUGGCUCGGCCCGACGGGUCGACCUGGGACCCGACUGACCUGGGAUGAAACCGGGCUGGGUUUAAAAAAAAACCAGCCAAGGAUUUGGCCCAGAAAAACCCUGUCGACCCGGGUAAACCCAGAUGAGACCCGAAUGUGUUUUUUAAUAUAUAUAUAUAUAUAUAUAUAUAUAUAUAUAAGCAAAACAUCAUCGUUUCAUUGAAGAGUCGAAGACAGAAAACCGAAUCUGUCUGCUUAAGCCAACGAAGCAGCUGCAAAACCUACUAUUAACAUUCAAUCUCUUCCACACUCUUUGUGCUACCAUUCUUUUCUAAACCAUUCUUCUCUCUCAGCUCCCUUUUCUUUUCUGAUUGCUUAAGCUAACCUAUAACAAGACACUUGGAGAACCCCAUUUUUACUGGUAAACUAUUUAUAUUUUGUUUUUUUAUUGGUUGAGUCUUCCAUGUUGAUUAUUUCUUUUCUAAACCAUUCUUCUCUCUCAAAUCCCUGUUCUUUACUGACUGCUUAAGUGAACCAGUAACUAGACAUUUAGAGAACCUCUUUUUGCUGGCAGAAACGUUCAGGUAAACUUUAUAUCUUUUCUGUUUUUAUUGCUUGAUUCAUCUAAGUAAAACAACAUGCUGGUUAUUAAAUUACCAAGGUUGGUAAUUUUUGCAUAUUAUUUAAUUAAGUAUUUUCAUCUAGGAAUCAUGAUUCCUGUAUUAGUUCUUUAUUUGCAUCUCCCCAGUUUUGGGCAAACUAGUCUUUUCUGUUUUCGUUUCUGGUUUUAAAAUAUUCAUAGAGCAUGAUGGCAAUGAACUUAGAAACAAAAUUACAUUUGUCUGCAAUGAAGUCAAAGGGUGUUGUUUCCAUGAUGGCAUGGAAGACUUUCUUGUGUAUAUAUCAUGAAUGAGAAAUUUUCAAGCUGUAAUAUUUAAUGCUUUGCCUGCACCAUUCUCUUAGUAUUAGUGUAGGAUAGAAAUUAAUUUGAUUGAGAGGAGGAAGACAUACAUAUAAAAUAUAUCAUCCAAUUCUUUUUUUUUUGUUAACCCGGGUCAACCCAUCUGACCUGUGACUCGAUCAUUAUACCAAGUCGACCACUAGGUUGUGUUUAAAAACUAUACCUAGGAUUGUCCACGAGGUGGGAUGAUAUUGGUCCUCCUCAAACCUACAUGGAUAUUACAUACCCGAACUCGAGUUUUAUGAGUUGAGGAGAUUAUUAGAUAUAAUUACAAGUUAAGAUAAUUGUGAAUAAAUGUAUAGUUAGUUUAAUUUUAAUAAAAUGUUAUGUUUUCUUAAUUCUCAGUGUACAUUUGUUAUUUGCGAUUUAAUAUAUUAUGUGCUGCUUAUGUGAAUUGUGUUUUAAUGAUGAAGAACUGAUUAUUUGUGAUUUUGCAAAUUGCUAAUUUUUUUUUUGUAGGGAGUUGAUUGUAGAGUAGACUGCUCUUGGAUGCAUCUGUUAAAGGAGUCGCAUAUACCAUCUGCGAAAAUUGAGUCGCAAAUGGACAGUGGAGUCGCAUAUGACAUUUGCAACUCGCAUGUCGCAAAUGUCACCUGUGACUCUCUCAAUUGUGCUAGAUUUCUAAUUAUUUUUUCUCAUGUGUUAUUUUACAAAUUAUUUUUUUUAAAAAAAUGGGCUAACUUACCAAAACACUCCAUAGAAUACUAUCGUUACAUAUCAUGACUUUUAUUUAUUAUAGAUUACUAGAAUGAUUUUAGUUGCUUUCAUUCAUGUAAUUCAGCAAAGGAAAUAAGUUAAAUUUAACCGGAGUUAUGACUUGAAGUCUUGGAAGUAAAAGAUUGAAACCUGAGUUCUUUAAAUGCAUGUGGAAAGAUAAACUUAGAAUCAUACUUAUAAGACCUAACCCAAGAUUGACCCAGCUCGGGACUCAAGUUAUGAGUUAAGUUGCAGGUUGAUAUAUCAACUCAAAUUAUUUUUUUUUUAAACCACAUUGUUUCAGGGUUUUUUAUUUUUUAAGAAAACCAAAAUAAAAAACAACAAUGAUUUGAGUUUUUUUUUGUUGAUAAAAAACUAGAUAAAAAUAAAUUUGGCUUAAACUUGAUUUUGAGUUUAGAUCAAUAGAAAUUGGUGUACAAGAUUUUUUAACUCAAACCACUGGACAACUACACCACCAUGGUGGGUUAGCAUGACUUUUCAAGCAACAUGGAUACACUAACUCACUCCAUAAUUAGUAUGUGGUGUGCAUGAAAGUGAAAUGACAGAUGAUUGAGUCACACGUGACUUUCAGCAAGUGGGGUGGCCGAAGUUUACAAGUCAUUAUAGCCUCUCAGUGCUUUCAAUGUAGUAGUGCUAAUAAACAUCAUUCUUAACCUUCAACCUUUUGGCACGUUGUUGGUUUUAUUUAUUUAUUUAUUUGUAUUUGCGUCUAAUUUAGUGUUUCAUUCUUUUAGAUUUUCUUAAUUAUAGUAAAUUAACUAUACACAUUGUUUUGCUAAUGAAAAUAAAAUAUGAGUACAUGAAGAUUUGUAAUUUUCUAUGUUAUCUCUUAUAAUUUUUACCUUCUACAAAAUAAAAUCUCUUAAAAUGUUAAUUUUGAGGUUAACUUAUUAUCAAUAUUUCACAUUUAUGAUCACAUAAUUUUUCUUAUUUUUAAAUAGAUUUAGGUAUUAAUUUUUUAAAGUUAAAUAAUUAAGGACUUACAGUUAACAAAUCAAUUUUUUUGAGAAUUAUUGAUUAAAGUAUAUUAAUAAUGGAGGAUGCAUGGUAUAGUUUUGACUUACAAAGUGGCCUGCCCCAAGAAUCCAGAAGAAGUUCAGGUUUUUGUACGACCUGGUAAAUCCUUUUGUGAGCUGUCCUUCUGCACCGCAAAGA
rnacentral:lncRNA from 1 species